UACGUAGGCGCAAGCGUUGUCCGGAAUUAUUGGCGUAAAGAGCUCGUAGGUGGUUGUCGCGUUGUUCGUGAAGUACUCACGGCUUAACUGUGAGCGUGCGGGCGAUACGGGCAGACUGGAGUACUGCAGGGGAGGACGUGGAAUUCCUGGUGUAGCGGUGGAAUGCGCAGAUAUCAAGGAGGAACACCGGUGGCGAAGGCGGGUCUCUGGGCAGUAACUGACGCUGAGGAGCGAAAGCGUGGGGAGCGAACAGG
rnacentral:rRNA from 1 species